rnacentral:rRNA from 1 species
ACUCCUACGGGAGGCAGCAGUCGGGAAUUUUGCGCAAUGGGGGAAACCCUGACGCAGCAAUACCGCGUGUGGGAUGAAGGCCUUCGGGUCGUAAACCACUUUUUUCGGGGACGAUAAUGACGGUACCCGAAGAAUAAGCCACGGCUAACUACGUGCCAGCAGCCGCGGUAAUAC